GAAUCCCGUAUAUGGCAUGGACUCCCGUUGCUCUGUGAUACACUCUCGACGAGUCGAGUUGUUUGGGAAUGCAGCUCUAAAUGGGUGGUAAAUGCCAUCUAAAGCUAAAUAUUGGCGAGAGACCGAUAGCGAACAAGUACCGUGAGGGAAAGAUGAAAAGCACUUUGGAAAGAGAGUGAAACAGUACGUGAAAUUGUUGAAAGGGAAACGCUUGAAGUCAGUCGCGCCGUUCGGGAUUCAGCCUUGCUUCUGCUCGGUUUACUUCCCGUUGGGUGGGUCAACAUCAGUUUCGGUCGGGGGAGAAAGACUUGGGGAAGGUAGCAGCAUUCGUGCUGUGUUAUAGCCCCUUGUUGUAUACUUCGAUUGGGACUGAGGACCGCAGCACGCCUUUGGCCGGGGUUCGCCCACGUACGUGCUUAGGAUGUUGGCAUAAUGGCUUUAAGCGACCCGUCUUGAAACACGGACCAAGGAGUCUAACAUGUGCGCGAGUGUUUGGGUGUUAAACUCGGACGCGAAAUGAAAGUGAAAGGUUGGGAACACUUAUGUGUGCACCAACGCCCGGAGCUGACCUUCUGUGACGCAUCUGCGGUAGAGCGUAUAUGUUGGGACCCGAAAGAUGGUGAACUAUGCCUGAAUAGGGUGAAGCCAGAGGAAACUCUGGUGGAGGCUCGUAGCGAUUCUGACGUGCAAAUCGAUCGUCAAAUUUGGGUAUAGGGGCGAAAGACUAAUCGAACCAUCUAGUAGCUGGUUCCUGCC
rnacentral:rRNA from 1 species